AUAAAACAUGCUUCUUGUAUCUGAGGUAGCGAUGUAAUACUGAGAAUUCCAAUGUAUCCAUUUCUCAAACUAAAUGAUUUUUAAGAUAUCUGGUAGUGCUAUUCUACAAUGGUUUUUAACUAAUUUAUUUCCUGUGCUAAAUUCUAUGGUCGUGUUCUGACUUCACUACUUCAGAACUUUUCUAUUAUUCUAGUUUGAUUUAUUUAUUAUGUUGUAAUGACCUAGAAAAUGGCAUACUGACAUUUGUGGCCACUCUGUAGUUAACUGCGGAUGCUAUAGUGGAAAUGUGUAGAGACCCUUAGACGCUGUGCAAAACCUCUUUAUGACUUAUGAUUAGCGGAUGAUACAGUGAAAGAAGCACUUCAUAGUUGAACAUGUCUCCUUACCUCCCUAGUAAGUUUUGAUUCAAACACAGUGAACACCUGUAUACUAGUUUUGUAGACUUGCACAAUGAACAAAGGUUUCUUUGUCUUGUUCCUUAAAGAGGUUUAUUUUAUCUAUAUGUUUUAUUACCAUAGUGCAUUUUAAAUUUUAAUGAAGAUUGUUAUUGUCUCUCCAA
rnacentral:lncRNA from 1 species